UCGUAACAAGGUCUCCGUUGGUGAACCAGCGGAGGGAUCAUUACAGAGUUGCAAAACUCCCAAACCAUUGUGAACGUUACCUUCAAACCGUUGCUUCGGCGGGCGGCCCGGGUCCGCCCGGUGCCCCCUGGCCCCCUCGCGGGGCGCCCGCCGGAGGAAACCCAACUCUUGAUACAUUAUGGCCUCUCUGAGUCUUCUGUACUGAAUAAGUCAAAACUUUCAACAACGGAUCUCUUGGUUCUGGCAUCGAUGAAGAACGCAGCGAAAUGCGAUAAGUAAUGUGAAUUGCAGAAUUCAGUGAAUCAUCGAAUCUUUGAACGCACAUUGCGCCCGCCAGUAUUCUGGCGGGCAUGCCUGUUCGAGCGUCAUUUCAACCAUCAAGCCCCAGGCUUGUGUUGGGGACCUGCGGCUGCCGCAGGCCCUGAAAACCAGUGGCGGGCUCGCUGUCACACCGGGCGUAGUAGAUUUUAUCUCGCUCAGGGCGUGCUGCGGGUUCCGGCCGUUAAAAAGCCUUUUUUACCCAAGGUUGACCUCGGAUCAGGUAGGAAGACCCGCUGAACUUAAGCAUAUCAAUAAGCGGAGGA
rnacentral:misc_RNA from 1 species